rnacentral:rRNA from 1 species
UUCCUACGGGACGCAGCAGUCGGGAAUAUUGCGCAAUGGAGGAAACUCUGACGCAGUGACGCCGCGUGCAGGAAGAAGGUUUUCGGAUUGUAAACUGCUUUAGACAGGGAAGAAAAAAGACAGUACCUGUAGAAUAAGCUCCGGCUAACUACGUGCCAGCAGCCGCGGUAAUACGUAGGGAGCAAGCGUUAUCCGGAUUUAUUGGGUGUAAAGGGUGCGUAGGCGGGAUAGCAAGUCAGAUGUGAAAUCCUAUGGCUUAACCAUAGAACUGCAUUUGAAACUGUUAUUCUAGAGUAUGGGAGAGG